GCGUUCUAUAUAUAUUUUUUAGCUUGUGUUCUCGUUCGAUCAUCGAAGUUAAGCAAUGUCGGACCCGGUCAGUACUUGGGAGGGUGACCACCUGGGAACACCGGGUGGUGUUGACUAUU
rnacentral:rRNA from 1 species